rnacentral:lncRNA from 1 species
GUGAGACAUUUGAAACCCAAUACAAAAUACUUAUUUGCGCUUCAGGCUUAUGCUGUCAAUCCUAAUUAUACUGACAAUGUCAACUUUAAGGCAGUGUUUACGCCCGAUAAUGAAAAAUGGUUUUUCAAUCUACUUUACCUACUAGUGAUUAUCCCAUUAAUACUGAUGUGUGUGUGUUCCAGUAAAAGUAAUCGCGUAAGGAAUUGUUUGAAUCCUGUAAUACCCCAACCU